rnacentral:tRNA from 1 species
UGGCCCUUUCGUCUAACGGUUAGGACGUCAGAUUCUCAUUCUGAAAAUAGGGGUUCGAUUCCCCUAGGGGCUACAAG